GCCGAGUGAAGGAAAGCCCCUUUUAAAACCAUCAGAUCUCGUGAGAACUCACUCAGUAUCAUGAGAACAGCCGGGGGAAAACCGCAUCCGUGAUUCAAUUAUCUCCACCUGAUCCCACCCUUAAAACAUGGGGAUUAUUACAAUUCAAGGUGAGAUUUGGGUAGGGACACAGAGCCAAACCAUAUCAGACCUCAUUAGCCAUAUGACAAAUGGCAAAUUAUGUAACUUCUUGAUAUUUCAGUUUUUCUUCUAUGAAAGGAUUUAUCAGUACUGCCUAUCUCCUAGGGUUGUUGAGAAGAUUAAAUCAGUCAAUAUAUGUAAUGCCUUUAGAACACUGCUCUGCAAAUAGCAAGCACUAUGUACAUGCUAUUUUAUUAGUGGCAUCGGAAAACUGAUUCGGAUCAACAACUUCAUUUUGAAGCUAGCUCUGCAUGACAGCAUUGAAUACAAAUAUCACUGAUGAUGAUGAAUGGAUUGAGGAAUGCGGAAUGCAUUGUACUAAAAGGGUCCAGAAAUUGCCACAAGUCUCUUUUUGAGUCUCAGAGAAGCAAGGCCAUCAUGUAUAAGCCAGGGCACAGAUGGUGUUAAACAUUUCAUUCUGGGCCAUGUAUAACUAUAAUUUGUCUAAAUUGAUGGCUGCAGUAAGAAUGCAUGAAUGAUUGUGUCAGUUUGUUCACUUGGAGAGAAUUUCAAUUAUACACAGUGUUGUAGUUAUUAUUAAAAUAAAAUCAGAGGACUGAUUCAUCAUGGCUUUCUGGUGAGCAUACUAUUUUGUAGGUGAUUUAAUUAAUUGCAUACAUAUAUGAUUAACAGUAUCUAGAGUGAAUAUAACUAUGGGUGAAUAUAUUGAUGUUGUAAUAAUGAUGUACUUUCUUAAUAUUAGUUAUUUAUUAAUAUGAGAAUAAUAGUAAACGACAAAAAGACUAAAGUGAAUCCUGAAUUAACUUUUGUCUGGUAAUUGAUUUUAGGUGGAAAAAGCUUAAUAUUUCAAAUCAAACAGCUAAACAAAUAGAUUUUGUCAUUAGAUGGGGCUGUUAAUAAUUGAGUGCCUUCCAAAUAAGGUCCCAAAUAAGAAGGAAAUCCAUGAAUUUUGUUACUACAUGACUUUUUGUGACUCAGUAAUUUAUGAUUUUUAUGAAGGCCAUGCUCUUACCCUCCACUUAGGUCAACGCAGUAGGAUAAGCAAUGUGCAUCAAAUAUACUGAUUAUAUUCACAAAAUGAAUCUACAUAUCUUUGGAAUCAAGCAUUGAUUUAGAGAGAUCACCAAUAAAUAAUGCCAGAUAUGUGGUUUAAAAAUCGUUCUUUUAAAUUCAGAAUUGUAUAAGCACUAGGCAUGUACAGUUUUUUACAAUUAAAAGAAAAAAUAGCUAAGUCAGGGAAAUUAUAUUCUCCUUUGUUUCUCUCCUAGGAAUUAUUUUUGUCUGCAAUCAAUCCUUCAGAAGAAUCUCUCACAUCUUCACUUUUGUGCAGUAUGUUAACUAUGAACAAAAUGAUAGUGUAUGUCAGUCAAAUGUAAUACUUAUAUUAAAACCUGAUUAUUAAUGCAGAAGCUCAUGGAAAGUAAGGUUAAUCUGAAUAAUAUAUUAUUUCUCUUAGUCCACAAUCUAUCAUUUCACAAACCAUGGUUAAUAGAAUGACAAAAAUAAAAAGCUUUGUUUAAAUGAAAAUGUAUAAUAUAUUCUUCAUCUCAUUUAUAUCUUAUUGUGUUAGGUAGGCGAACAUAGCUAGUCUGUGAAUGUGAUAAAAAGAAGAUGAUACAUUUCUUUGUUUUAAAAAUCUUAAGUAUUCCUGCUAAAUAGUGAGUUUCCAAAGGCUUGCUAUUAUUUAAAAUAUUGC
rnacentral:lncRNA from 1 species